rnacentral:rRNA from 1 species
UACGUAGGGACCGAGCGUUGUCCGGAAUCAUUGGGCGUAAAGAGCGUGUAGGCGGUUCGGUAAGUCUGUCGUGAAAUCCUGAGGCUCAACCUCGGGCGUGCGAUGGAUACUGCCGGGCUAGAGGGUGGUAGAGGCGAGUGGAAUUCCCGGUGUAGCGGUGAAAUGCGCAGAUAUCGGGAGGAACACCAGUGGCGAAGGCGGCUCGCUGGGCCACACCUGACGCUGAGACGCGAAAGCUAGGGGAGCGAACGAG